GCCUACGGGGCGCAGCAGUAGGGAAUUUUCGUCAAUGGACGCAAGCCUGAACGAGCAAUGCCGCGUGAACGAGGAAGGUCUUCGGAUCGUAAAGUUCUGUUGAAGGGGAAAAAGAGCGGAGAGAGGAAAUGCUUUCUGAUUGAUAUUACCCUUCGAGGAAGUCACGGCUAACUACGUGCCAGCAGCAGCGGUAAUACGUAGGUGGCGAGCGUUAUCCGGAAUGAUUGGGCGUAAAGGGUGCGUAGGCGGCCUGCUAAGUCUGGAGUGAAAGGUACCGGCUCAACCGGUACAGGCUCUGGAAACUG
rnacentral:rRNA from 1 species